rnacentral:rRNA from 1 species
CCCUGCACUUUGGGAUAAGCCUGGGAAACUGGGUCUAAUACCGAAUAUGACCGCGCUCUUCAUGGGGUGUGGUGGAAAGCUUUUGCGGUGUGGGAUGGGCCCGCGGCCUAUCAGCUUGUUGGUGGGGUAAUGGCCUACCAAGGCGACGACGGGUAGCCGGCCUGAGAGGGUGACCGGCCACACUGGGACUGAGAUACGGCCCAGACUCCUACGGGAGGCAGCAGUGGGGAAUAUUGCACAAUGGGCGCAAGCCUGAUGCAGCGACGCCGCGUGAGGGAUGACGGCCUUCGGGUUGUAAACCUCUUUCAAUAGGGACGAAGCGCAAGUGACGGUACCUAUAGAAGAAGGACCGGCCAACUACGUGCCAGCAGCCGCGGUAAUACGUAGGGUCCGAGCGUUGUCCGGAAUUACUGGGCGUAAAGAGCUCGUAGGUGGUUUGUCGCGUUGUUCGUGAAAACUCACAGCUUAACUGUGGGCGUGCGGGCGAUACGGGCAGACUAGAGUACUGCAGGGGAGACUGGAAUUCCUGGUGUAGCGGUGGAAUGCGCAGAUAUCAGGAGGAACACCGGUGGCGAAGGCGGGUCUCUGGGCAGUAACUGACGCUGAGGAGCGAAAGCGUGGGGAGCGAACAGGAUUAGAUACCCUGGUAGUCCACGCCGUAAACGGUGGGUACUAGGUGUGGGUUUCCUUCCUUGGGAUCCGUGCCGUAGCUAACGCAUUAAGUACCCCGCCUGGGGAGUACGGCCGCAAGGCUAAAACUCAAAGGAAUUGACGGGGGCCCGCACAAGCGGCGGAGCAUGUGGAUUAAUUCGAUGCAACGCGAAGAACCUUACCUGGGUUUGACAUGCACAGGACGCCAGUAGAGAUAUUGGUUCCCUUGUGGCCUGUGUGCAGGUGGUGCAUGGCUGUCGUCAGCUCGUGUCGUGAGAUGUUGGGUUAAGUCCCGCAACGAGCGCAACCCUUGUCUCAUGUUGCCAGCACGUAAUGGUGGGGACUCGUGAGAGACUGCCGGGGUCAACUCGGAGGAAGGUGGGGAUGACGUCAAGUCAUCAUGCCCCUUAUGUCCAGGGCUUCACACAUGCUACAAUGGCCGGUACAAAGGGCUGCGAUGCCGUGAGGUGGAGCGAAUCCUUUCAAAGCCGGUCUCAGUUCGGAUCGGGGUCUGCAACUCGACCCCGUGAAGUCGGAGUCGCUAGUAAUCGCAGAUCAGCAACGCUGCGGUGAAUACGUUCCCGGGCCUUGUACACACCGCCCGUCACGUCAUGAAAGUCG